CCUACGGGAGGCGGCAGUGGGGAAUCUUGCGCAAUGGGCGAAAGCCUGACGCAGCAACGCCGCGUGCGGGAUGACGGCCUUCGGGUUGUAAACCGCUUUCAGUGGGGACGAACCAAGACGGUACCCACAGAAGAAGCCCCGGCCAACUACGUGCCAGCAGCCGCGGUAACACGUAGGGGGCGAGCGUUGUCCGGAUUUAUUGGGCGUAAAGAGCUCGUAGGCGGUUCGAUAAGUCGGGUGUGAAACCUCCAGGCUCAACCUGGAGACGCCACCCGAUACUGUCGUGACUAGAGUCCAGUAGGGGAGCGUGGAAUUCCUGGUGUAGCGGUGAAAUGCGCAGAUAUCAGGAGGAACACCAGUGGCGAAGGCGGCGCUCUGGGCUGGAACUGACGCUGAGGAGCGAAAGCGUGGGGAGCGAACAGGAUUAGAUACCCUGGUAGUCCACGCCGUAAACGUUGGGUACUAGGUGUGGGGUCUUAUCAACGGAUUCCGUGCCGCAGCUAACGCAUUAAGUACCCCGCCUGGGGAGUACGGCCGCAAGGCUAAAACUCAAAUGAAUUGACGG
rnacentral:rRNA from 1 species